CGGACAUCUGGGCAUGCUGCAAGAGAGAAGCACCCCAGCAUUAAAAAGACACCUGCAAAGGGCCGACAGCACGCCGGGAACACUAACACAAAUAAAUCCGGCCUACCUGUUAGCAUAAGCCUGACUUCAGACGGUGCUAGAGCAGGACUCAGAGACUGGUGAUCCGCUUGGAUGAACAACGCAUCAUAGAGUCACCUAUCCCCUCGGGGGACCACGCCGGCUCGGGGGCCUGCCCCGCCCCCC